rnacentral:rRNA from 1 species
AUACCCUGGUAGUCCACGCAGUAAACGAUGAAUACUAGCUGUAUGCGAUAUACUGUAUGUGGCAAAGCGAAAGCGUUAAGUAUUCCACCUGGGGAGUACGUUCGCAAGAAUGAAACUCAAAGGAAUUGACGGGGGCCCGCACAAGCGGAGGAACAUGUGGUUUAAUUCGAUGAUACGCGAGGAUCCUUACCCGGGCUUGAAAUGCAUCUGACCGACUUGGAAGCAGGUCUUCUAGCAAUAGCAGAUGUGUAGGUGCUGCAUGGUUGUCGUCAGCUCGUGCCGUGAGGUGUCGGCUUAAGUGCCAUAACGAGCGCAACCCCUAUCAUUAGUUACUAACAGGUUAAGCUGAGGACUCUAGUGAGACUGCCACCGUAAGGUGUGAGGAAGGUGGGGAUGACGUCAAAUCAGCACGCCCCUUACGUCCGGGGCGACACACGUGUUACAAUGGGGGGUACAGAGGGUUGCUACUUGGUGACAAGAUGCUAAUCUCUUAAAGCCUCUCUCAGUUCGGAUCGAAGUCUGCAACUCGACUUCGUGAAGCUGGAUUCGCUAGUAAUCGCGCAUCAGCCANGGCGCG